rnacentral:rRNA from 1 species
UACAGAGGGGGCAAGCGUUGUUCGGAAUUACUGGGCGUAAAGGGCGCGUAGGCGGCCUGUUAAGUCGAACGUGAAAUCCCCGGGCUCAACCCGGGAACUGCGUCCGAUACUGGUUGGCUUGAAUCCGGGAGAGGGAUGUGGAAUUCCAGGUGUAGCGGUGAAAUGCGUAGAUAUCUGGAGGAACACCGGUGGCGAAGGCGACAUCCUGGACCGGUAUUGACGCUGAGGCGCGAAAGCCAGGGGAGCAAACGGG